AAUUCCUAUGGGAUUGACAAUGGCUUAAACUGGAACAAAUAAGGGGUUUGACUCCCCUAGCUUCUGAAGCUAGUCAACACUUUUUUUG
rnacentral:sRNA from 1 species